rnacentral:rRNA from 1 species
GAUGAACGCUGGCGGCGUGCCUAAUACAUGCAAGUCGAGCGAACGGACGAGAAGCUUGCUUCUCUGAUGUUAGCGGCGGACGGGUGAGUAACACGUGGAUAACCUACCUAUAAGACUGGGAUAACUUCGGGAAACCGGAGCUAAUACCGGAUAAUAUUUUGAACCGCAUGGUUCAAAAGUGAAAGACGGUCUUGCUGUCACUUAUAGAUGGAUCCGCGCUGCGUUAGCUAGUUGGUAAGGUAACGGCUUACCAAGGCAACGAUGCAUAGCCGACCUGAGAGGGUGAUCGGCCACACGGGAACUGAGACACGGUCCAGACUCCUACGGGAGGCAGCAGUAGGGAAUCUUCCGCAAUGGGCGAAAGCCUGACGGAGCAACGCCGCGUGAGUGAUGAAAGUCUUCGGAUCGUAAAACUCUGUUAUUAGGGAAGAACAGAUGUGUAAGUAACUGUGCACAGCUUGACGGUACCUAAUCAGAAAGCCACGGCUAACUACGUG